rnacentral:SRP_RNA from 1 species
GCCAGAUGCAGUGGCUCAUUCCUGUAGUCCCAGCUACUCGGGAGCCUGAGGUGGUAGGAUCACUUGAGUCCAGGAGGAAGUUCUGGGCUAUGCCAAUCAGGUGUCCGCACUAAGUUCAGCAUCAACAUGGUGACCUCCCCGGAGCAAGGGAUCACCAGGUUGCCUAUGGAGGAGUGAACCGGCCCAGGUCAGAAACCGAGCAGGUCAAAACUCUCGUGUUGAUCAGUAGUGGGAUUGUGCCUGUGAACAAACACUGUACUCCAGCCUGGGCAACACAGCGAGACCACGUCUCU